AGAAGUGCAUGCUAGUCUUAAGGACUAAGCCAUGCAAGUAUGAGUUCAAGGAGACGAAAAAUGUAUGGGCCGAGGGCGAACCCGUUGGGUCUUAGGGCCAAACAUAUAACAUCUAUUCGACCGAAGCGCAACAUGGCCUUCCUAAAACUGCGUUCGGCUCAGUAAAAAAUUUAGAAUGAUGGUAUGGCAUAAUGAAAUGUACUGGCCGGCCGGCUUCGCGGCUGGUCGGCGCAACGUACACGAUUGACCAGAUAACUGUGGUAAAACCAUAGCUAAUAUGUGAAAGGGUACCGCGUCCACGGACGGCGGUAUGAAGGUGCCCGUCGCGGUUGUAACCGUCGUGCUUCACGUGCGGCGGCGUCGCGCGCGGGCGCCGCUGAGCUACUACGCAUAAGAGCGUGCACUCAAAGACGAGACUGGUAGCCCAGCGUAGCGAUCGAAUCGCAACCAACCGUGGCUGAAUUAUUUAUCAAUUGGUGUGGUGUAUCGUGCACACCAGAGAUUGCUACGGGUCACGGGGAAUCAGGGUUCGAUUCCGGAGAAGGCGCCUGCUACACGGCUACUAAUCCUAAGGGGUGCAGCAGGCGCGAAACUUGCCCAAUGAGAGCCACUCGAGGCAGCGACGAUAUGUGAUGAUGUGGUGGCUCAUAGUAGUGACCGCAAUUAGACUGAGGUCACCCCAAACAACUGACCAAAAGCUAUUGGAGGGCAAGUCUGGUGCCAGCAGCCGCGGUAACACCAGCUCCAAUGGCGUAUGUUUGUGUUGCUGCGGUUAAAAAGCUCGUAGUAUAUGCCCACGUACGAGCAGCCGAGCCGCCCGCCGAGGGCGGCCUCGGCUACAUGCAACUGAUAUCUGACCCACCAUAUAGAAUGCUCCGGCCGAUGUAAUUGCCCUUCGAAUGGGUGAGAUNNNCGCCGGGUCUAAGGNACGGGUUUGCUACUACCUAGAACAAAUUAAAAUGAUUCAAGUNNNNNNNNNNNNNNNNNNNNNNNNGUUAACACGUCAGCGUGGCCGGCGUUCGCGUCGCGCCCGUUCGGCGUCCGUUUGCGCGCGGUCGCGCACGGUCUUGCGAUAAAUGCAAGCGCGAUCGGGAGAUGAGCCUGUUAUACGAUUGUGAGGGGUGAAAUUCAGAGACCGCUUUGGGAGCGGCCGUGGCAAAGGCGGAAAAUUUGCCCCUCACACAGCCUUUGACUCAAUAACUACUCGAUCGACCAAGAGCGAAAGUUUGAGGAUCGAAGGCGAUCAGAUACCGCCCUAGUUUUAACCGUAAACGAUGCCAUCUUGGAGUACGCUAAUAAGAAUGCGUAUAAUUAGCGAGCUCCAUCCGGGAAACCAAAGACAUUGGGUUCCGGGGGAAGUAUGGUUGCAAAACUGAAACUUAAAGGAAUUGACGGAAAGGCACCACCAGCCGUGGAGCUUGCGGCUUAAUUUGACUCAACACGGGAAAACUCACCAGACCCGCACGUGAGCACGAAUGACAUACUAAUAGAUAUUUCUUGAUUGCACGUCUGGUGGUGCAUGGCCGUUCAUAGUUGGUGGAGUGAUUUGUCUGGUUAAUUCCGUUAACGAGCGAGACCCCAGCCUGUUAACUAGACGCGCGCAUAGGAAUUGAGCAAGAACGGUGUGCGCGCGCUCGCGGCGCUCGUUCGGCUUCCUGGUCGUUCGGGCGUUCGCGUGUCGCCGCGUGCCGCACUCGGCUUACUAGCUGCGCGCGAAUGACUUCUUAAAGGGACAAGCUGUAUAUAGUAGUACGAGACGGGGCAAUAACAGGUCAGUCAUGCCCUUAGAUGUUCUGGGCUGCACGCGUGCUACAAUGAGUAAUCCAACUAGUGAGCCCGGGCCGAGAGGCUCCGGGAAAUCUACACAAUGUUAACUCGUAGUUGGAAUUGAGGCCUGCAACUGGCCUCAUGAACCCGGAAUGCCUAGUAAUUCUGCAUCACUAGUCCGGGCUGAUUUAGUCCCUGCCCUUUGUACACACCGCCCGUCGCUACUACCGAUUGGGUAGGUUAGCGAGGUAUUUGGACUGCACGCGUCAGCGCGCAGAAAGAUUAUCAAACUUGUCUAUUUAGAGGAAGUAAAA
rnacentral:rRNA from 1 species